rnacentral:misc_RNA from 1 species
CUCCUCUCGGAGCGGGCGCGGAACGCGGCGCCGUCCCCCACCCUGGCGAUCACGGCCAAGGCGAACGCGAUGAAGGCGGAGGGCAUCGAUGUCGUCGGGUUCGGCGCGGGGGAGCCGGACUUCGAUACUCCCGA